AUUGAACGCUGGCGGCAGGCUUAACACAUGCAAGUCGAGCGGGGUGAUGGUGCUUGCACUAUCACUUAGCGGCGGACGGGUGGGUAAUGCUUAGGAAUCUGCCUAUUAGUGGGGGACAACAUCUCGAAAGGGAUGCUAAUACCGCAUACGUCCUACGGGAGAAAGCAGGGGAUCACUUGUGACCUUGCGCUAAUAGAUGAGCCUAAGUCGGAUUAGCUAGUUGGUGGGGUAAAGGCCUACCAAGGCGACGAUCUGUAGCGGGUCUGAGAGGAUGAUCCGCCACACUGGGACUGAGACACGGCCCAGACUCCUACGGGAGGCAGCAGUGGGGAAUAUUGGACAAUGGGGGGAACCCUGAUCCAGCCAUGCCGCGUGUGUGAAGAGGGCCUUAUGGUUGUAAAGCACUUUAAGCGAGGAGGAGGCUCUUUUGGUUAAUACCUAAGAUGAGUGGACGUUACUCGCAGAAUAAGCACCGGCUAACUCUGUGCCAGCCGCCGCCGUAA
rnacentral:rRNA from 1 species